rnacentral:rRNA from 1 species
CUGUACAGUUCAGUAGUUUGAUCCUGGCUCAAGACGAACGCUGGCGGCAGGCUUAACACGUGCAAGUCGAGCGCCCCGCAAGGGGAGCGGCAGACGGGUGAGUAACGCGUAGGAAUCUACCCUUUUCUACGGAAUAACGCAGGGAAACUUGUGCUAAUACCGUAUGUGUCCUUCGGGAGAAAGAUUUAUCGGGAAAGGAUGAGCCCGCGUUGGAUUAGCUAGUUGGUGGGGUAAAGGCCUACCAAGGCGACGAUCCAUAGCUGGUCUGAGAGGAUGAUCAGCCACAUUGGGACUGAGACACGGCCCAA